rnacentral:rRNA from 1 species
GACAGAGGGGGCAAGCGUUGCUCGGAAUCACUGGGCGUAAAGGGCGCGUAGGCGGGAUGGCAAGUCAGUCGUGAAAUCUCUCGGCUCAACCGAGAAACGUCGGCUGAUACUGCCGUUCUUGAGGGAUGCAGAGGAGACUGGAAUUCCCGGUGUAGCGGUGAAAUGUGUAGAGAUCGGGAGGAACACCGGUGGCGAAGGCGGGUCUCUGGGCAUCUCCUGACGCUGAGGCGCGAAAGCGUGGGGAGCAGACGGG